rnacentral:rRNA from 1 species
UACGGGGGGAGCAAGCGUUGUUCGGAUUUACUGGGCGUAAAGGGCGCGUAGGCGGCGCGACAAGUCACUUGUGAAAUCUCUGGGCUCAACCCAGAACGGUCAAGUGAUACUGUCGUGCUAGAGUGCGGAAGGGGCAACUGGAAUUCUUGGUGUAGCGGUGAAAUGCGUAGAUAUCAAGAGGAACACCGGUGGCGAAGUCGGGUCUCUGGGCAGUAACUGACGCUGAGGAGCGAAAGCGUGGGGAGCGAACAGG